GUUUGGUUUGUUACGGGUGGUUGGCUCUUUGCUUGUGCAACAACUUCCACCUGACUUACCUCUUCAGUUUCUUGUCAAAUGCUUCUAAAGCAUUCGAUUAAAGCAUGGGUUUCUUGUGUUGGAUACCAAUUUGAUGGAAUAGAGUUAUGACCGAAUUUAUGUUUUUCAUCUUGCAUCUUUAAUGUGGUGUGAGAUGAACCAUUAAGCGUUCCUUGUGAACCACAUCUUUAAUGCUUGUACAUUCAUAGGUGUGGAUCACUUUGAGUUGCUUGGUCUCUUGGGUAUGGAACAUCAUGUGGGCAUGGGACUUUAUGAGUCCUGUUGUUGUCCUAGUUAAGCGUUUCUCUAAUACGAUUGUCUAUCACGUAUGGCACGUCUCAGCGUGAUAGGCUAUGUCGGAGAUGAAUGCUACCUGGUUGAUCCU
rnacentral:misc_RNA from 1 species